rnacentral:rRNA from 1 species
AAUCUACCUUCGAAUUGGGGAUAACGUUACGAAAGUGACGCUAAUACCGGAUAAUAUCAUAGGGACUUUGGUUCUUAUGAUCAAAGAUGGCCUCUCCUUGGAAGCUAUUGUUUGGAGAUGAGCCCGCGUCCCAUUAGCUUGUUGGUAGGGUAAUGGCCUACCAAGGCGACGAUGGGUAGCUGGUCUGAGAGGAUGAUCAGCCACACUGGGACUGACACACGGUCCAG